CCUACGGGUGGCAGCAGUAGGGAAUCUUCCACAAUGGGCGAAAGCCUGAUGGAGCAACGCCGCGUGGGUGAAGAAGGUCUUCGGAUCGUAAAACCCUGUUGGUAGAGAAGAAAGUGCGUGAGAGUAACUGUUCACGUGUCGACGGUAUCUAACCAGAAAGCGACGGCUAACUACGUGACAGCAGCCGCGGUAAUACGUAGGUGGCAAGCGUUAGCCGGAUUUAUUGGGAGUAAAGGGAACGCAGGCGGACGUUUAAGUCUGAUGUGAAAGCUGUCGGCUUAACCGGAGUAGGGCAUUGGAAACUGGGAGCCUUGAGUGCAGAAGAGGAGAGUGGAACGCCAUGUGUAGCGGGGAAAUGCAUAGAUAUAUGGCAGAACACCAGUUGCGAAAGCGGCUCUCUGGUGUGUAACUGACGCUGAGGUUCGAAAGCGUGGGUAGCAAACAGGAUUAGAUACCCGGGUAGUC
rnacentral:rRNA from 1 species